rnacentral:rRNA from 1 species
UACGGAGGGUGCAAGCGUUAUCCGGAUUCACUGGGUUUAAAGGGUGCGUAGGCGGCUUGAUAAGUCAUUGGUGAAAGCUCGCAGCUUAACUGCGAAACUGCCAUUGAAACUGUCAAGCUUGAAUGUGGUUGAAGUGGGCGGAAUACAACAUGUAGCGGUGAAAUGCUUAGAUAUGUUUUAGAACACCGAUUGCGAAGGCAGCUCACUAAGCCAAUAUUGACGCUGCGGCACGAAAGCGUGGGUAGCGAACAGG